rnacentral:piRNA from 1 species
ACAAGGCCUAUGGUGCUAAGAUGAUCC